ACUAUUUUGGCAGAGAAAAUGUAGUGAUUUUAGAAAUCAUUAAUAUAUAAUUUAAUUAUAUAUGUAGUA
rnacentral:tRNA from 1 species